rnacentral:rRNA from 1 species
UACGUGAGGGGGCAAGCGUUGUCCGGAAUCAUUGGGCGUAAAGAGCGUGUAGGCGGCCAGAUAAGUCCGCUGUGAAAUCUCGAGGCUCAACUUCGAGCUGUCGGUGGAAACUGUCUGGCUAGAGUCCGGAAGAGGAGAAUGGAAUUCCCGGUGUAGCGGUGAAAUGCGCAGAUAUCGGGGAAGAACAACCCGUGGCGAAGGCGGUUCUCUGGGACGGUACUGACGCUGAGACGCGAAAGCGUGGGGAGCGAACAGG